GUGACGUCACAGGCUGCAGACUAAACCCUCUCUGCCAUCUACACUAUUUGCGCUAUUUGCUCGAAUAUGGACCGCGAGUAACAUCCGAUGUAUUUAGUUUGCUAUUUGACCAAUGAUAAUUCCGGUAUGAAACGAUGCGGCAGAUUAAAGGACAAUGUAAAAGCGGAAGUGCAUACAUGAGUGGGAAUGUACCAUAUGACCUUUUAUCCCCACUGCCAAUGCCUCUUAGGUUCUUAGAGUUCCUGACUUCUAAUGGAUUUUAAUUUUACGUCUUUCUACAUAUGUAACGUCCGUGUACGCAAUGCGGCCGCUUCCGGUAUGGUAAUGAUGUUUAACUUGAAUCCCAGGGAGGCCAUAUAUAAAAUACGUAGCGUGUACUUCUAUCGGUUGUAACCUGAGAAAAAGAAGGGAGUGCGCUUUUCGGCUAUUCGAAUAACAAUGGUAAUACAGUAAGUACCUUUGUACAUUGCAAAGUGAAUAAAAUUCAUGUAUGUAGAAAAUGACGUAGUCAUGUUCAUAAGCCCACUGGGAGAUGAGAAGCUUGACGAAGAAAGAAAACUGCAAGACGAAAACUCCCAAAGUAUUCCCCAGCGUAGCAGUUUCAGUUGCACAUUUAUAACAAAGAAAGUUUCUCGACGCUUUACUGAAAAUUCACGAUUUCUCAUAAAUACAAAGUGCACAGGAUUUUCAGGAGGUAAAAUAAAGCAGCGUUUACCGGCUCCAUAAAGAAAUCUACGUUAUCGAUCGAGGUACCGCACAACCAGCUUGAUAGCCAAGAAUAAAAUAUUCUUAACAAUAAGAAUAAGUCAUAAGAGUUUUCUCGGGCGCCUUUUAAGAGAUUAUAUGCAUGAUAACAAUACUGAAGGAGUAUUCUCAUAAGAUGGCGUUAGCAUCCUCUCAGUCCAUAGACGUAGCAGUCAGGUUGACGUGGGUGGAAUAUAAUCGCGCUCGAGCGGGCGCCUUUGUACGGGCUUAUUCUCUUAUUGGCUCGCUUCGAAAUCCAUUUAGAAGGGCAAGCGGCAUUAGACAAUGGAUGGCAUUCAACAAGUAAUGAACCAGCCCGAUUGGUAGCUGUGAGUUAUCAUUGGUAAGCAAAAGCAAAUUACAGUCGACCAGAUCCUUCGACGAAAACGGCCAGCAGUUCUUUUGUUUCUCGGGAGUGUCGAUUUCAUUCGUCGAUUACGUGCAGCACGAGGAUCCAGAUGAAAUUUCGAUUGGAGCUUCGAGUUUCUAUGUAACCACGCAUCUCCACUCUGUCACCAGGGGCAGAACCAUUGGAUAUUCUACUGCGACUACAGUUAUUGCCAAGUAGCAACUCAAUCCGUAUAUUUACCAAGUUCUGUUGGCAAUAACCCUUAGGGCUGCUGGCAACUUGCCACUAAGGUAAAUCCAUUCGAAUGAGCUUACCAGGUACGGGAGCCACUUAACCAUCAUGGCGUCUCGUAUAUGCCAAUGAAAUUCAUGGGUUGAACCACUUUGCUAUGCCGCCUGUCUGGUUAUACGAACUUUUGCAUAAUUUAGGGGUCAGUUUAACAAUUGGGCACUACCCAAUCCUUUGAGCCUUAUUUAUUCACAUAGCUACCUAUAGGUCCUUUGCUAUUGUCAGGAACCAUCUUUGUUAUUAAACGUUCGAUCAUAUCUUGUCAACCAUUAAUACCUGAUUGGUUGAUUACGUAUGUGAUGAAAAUUUUAAUCAAUGAUACUUGAAAAAUGUGAUUGUCAGCUCUCUUAUUAUACGAAAAAAAUCCUUUUGCGUUUUAACAUUGGAUUAAGUUCCAACGAAAUGAAACCCAAAGAAUUUUUAAGGACGGAGGUCCUCAUUUCGACAUUACUCAACUGUCCAGCCGUCUCUUUAAAAAGACAGUUUCAUAUUACGUUACGUUUCUCAUAAGCCUGGAGACUUUAAUAUCUUGUCAUUAAAAAUGUACACACUAUAUAUUCUGCAUAUUGGAUAUCAGUAGAAUAAUUUUUGUUAAAGGAUCAGUGAUAUUUCUUUGUUAUCUGCGCAUGCGCUCAGCCCGCAUAUCCGGAAAAGGACACGUGGCUGCUGAAGUCUAAAAAUAUAGGACGUAUCGAUAACAAGAAGACACGGACCCUUGGUCGUUUCUUCCUGUGGCACAUUGAACAGUUUAUUUUCUGGACUUCGAAGGGAUUGUCUAGGCCGCCAACGAUAAACUCCUUGCAUCUUUGUAUGCUACCUUUGCCGAGAACAGCUGUCCAGGGAGACUGGGAAACUGGGAGACUGGAAAACUGGGUCGAAGCAAACAGCUUCUACCUUCGCCUCUACACUCUGCUGUAUUCCUCUCCUCUCCUCUCCUCUCCUCUCCUCCCUCUCACCCUCUCUCACUAUCGCUCUUCCCAGUUAUUUCAAGCUUCGCGCCAACUUUCUUAUUUCAUACUUCCUCCCAAGAAAAGAAUUUCUUCGCAAUCUCCUUUCGAGGGAAACGUUCAAUUUCCUUAGCGUGUACGAAUAUUUACAAUUUCUCCGCGACAGAGCGUUCGAUAUUCCGAUUAAAAUGAAUCAAUAAUCACUUCUAUGUAUUUCAUAAAACGCCAUUUUUUUUAGCACUGACACACUGAAAAUAUCUUUCACCGAACUAAAUCGAAUCCUAAAACUAUAUUCAUGUAAUCAAACGACGACAGUCAUGACAAAAUAUUUCAUCCGCUGAGAACUCGAAUACCCAGUAAAUCGUACACUGAGCCAUACGCUAGUGUAAUGUCAAAAAUCCAUUGAUCGGCAGUAAAAUGUUAAAAGCGAAGGUAAAUGAGGAUCGACCAAAGUCGAAACAACGACGAGCGCGUUAUGGUCGAUGUCAAUAGCUUUCGAGGUUAUAAA